rnacentral:lncRNA from 1 species
GGCCUGUUUGAGCAGGCAUUGCAAAUCUUAAAAACAAUAAGAUGAAUAAUCAUCACUGUUUGAUCACUGCCAUUUAUUGAGUACCUUCUCCAUGGCAGAUGCUAAGAUAAGACCUAACAUGCAUCAUCUCUGAUUUUACAAGUCUUCGAGGUUGCAGCCAUGAAAAUGCCCUGGUCAGCCAUGAUUGACCAUGACAGGGGUACUAGUGCAGGCCUGUUCCUGCUGGACAUGGAACCCCUCUAAUGGCUUAAGGACUCCCACUGGCUGGCAGAAACUUUCUUAGAACAACACUGUAGUCUAAGACUCUUCCUACUGAAUUCUCUUUCCUUCUCCCUCUCCUUUCAUGGGGGUCAGGCCUGCACUGCAGUCUGGGGCUUCCUCUGCCUACUUCAGUUCCUUCCUGAACAUUUUACAGGUGUUUCCCCCAAUAAUUCUCUUAUAUGCCUAAUCCCAUCUUGGUGCCUGCAUCUCGAAGGAACUAACACAGUGGACAGGAGUCCCAUUUUGCAGACAGACACUGGAUCAAUGAUGAAGUUACUUGUGUAAGUCCUACAGCCAACAAAUGUUAAGAGCUGGGGUUGUGUGCAGGUAUGUUUGAUUCCACAAGCCAAGUCUUAGAAGCAUACUAGGCUUCCUCUCUAAUGAUCUAUGCAGGCUUAACUGUGAGGACAGGGAGUGAUGACACAUUUCAGUUUGGCCCCUUUGUUUUGUCGAUGAGAAACCUGAGACCAGUGAGGGAAAGGAUUCGCCCAUGGGUGCCAGUGGGAGGGGUGCACCUGGGCUGUGCACAGCCAUUUCCCUCCUUUGGAGGCUGAGGGAGGAGGUCACAGGGAGGCCUCAGGGUAUGGAGGGAGGUCAGGCUGGGGGGCUUAGUGUCUGACCCACCAGCCUGGCAGGCGGGAAUGUGCCUGUAGAAGCCCACGGCCCUCUUGGGGAGAAGCCAUGAAGUGAGGACUGAGUGCUGCCUGGAGGUGCUGGCUGGGAUGCACAGGGAAGAGCUGUCAGGGUAUGGGUCUAACACUGGAACAGCUGGGGGACAUUCCCUGGAUAUCCCUGCAUUGCCUUGAGGCUCUCCCAUCCCUGUUUGAUCCGUAAGCUCCAAGGAGACAUGUUUCCCAGCCAUAAUGCCUUCUGAUCCCAAUCUCUUCUACUCUUUUCAUUGGCAAGAGUCAUUCUCACCCGGGUUUUCUUAUAUAAUAAUUAUAAACUCAUUCAGGGCCUGUGAGUGAAAAGGCACACAUAUACAUUCAGGUCUAAUAUUCACUGAGCAACCAUCAGCACAAUGGUAUGUGACCUCUUUGAAUGCUGCACUAAUGCUCCACUGUCUAGAAGGAGGCCAGACUGCUCUGGGGACCAGGUGCAGAGGGUGCCCUCAAGUGUCUAGUGUCAGAGAGAGAGGGGCUACUCCACUUUGGCCAGGGUGAACUUGAGUUGGUGAUGACAAACAUCUGCAGCUAGUCUAUUUUUCUAAUCUCACCCUCCAAACAGCCCCAUCUUCUUGCAGGGAGGAUGGGUGAAGGCAUUUUCAAAAAUGGACAUCACAUGUGACAAACAGGCAAAGGACCCUGACAGAGCCACAAAACUGACACGCUCAUGAAAACUCAGACCGCUGACAAUGGUGAGCGCCGACCAAUUCAGCGCCAGGCGUGGAGGCUUCUGGCAAGAGUGGUGGGCUCUGUGCGUCCUGAUGGUGGCAGCAGAGACCAGCUUGGGAGCCACCUGGCUCCUCUGCCCUAGCCCAUUAUGGCCUGAAUCCAAUCAAUUUCAGUUCUCAGCACUUCUGAAAACGUGCGUGGCUUAGAGUGUCUGGCAGGGCUCAGGAGAGAAAAGCAUUUCUCAGCCCCGGGACACAUAUAUGCCUCCAGGCACUGGUUGUGGCUUGCAAUCUGGGAGGGCAGGUGAACGGACACCCUCCCUCCUUGCACAGGCCUGGGAUCUGCCUUACUCAACUCCCACUUCUACCAGGAGCAGAGGAUCACCGCUGCCCAGCACCCCGCCCAUCUGAAUUCUGACUCUGGUGGCUUCAGAGAAGCAAGGUAGGGGCCAGUGCUGGUAUGAAAUGCCAGAUGAGAGGAAACUGAUGCAUGCACUUUACUCCUGACUCAGAGUGCCUGAAAUAUCUGGCAAACUGGCAAAGGAUGAAACCCUUCUUUGAGGUCUGUAGAGUAGCUUUAAGAUAAAUGAAGCCACUGAGAAGGUCCAAAACAAGGGGCCCUUAGACGUGGAAGAGGUCUGCUUUCCUGAUAACUAGAGUGGUGCUGGGCUAUGAAAACAGUCCAAAUAGAUGAGGAUAGUUCCUGAGAGCACAGGGUUCUGAAGCUGGACAAAUAUUCUUCCACCUUAAUGGCCCUCUCACUGGAGCCUUCACAGGGUUAACGAUGGUCCCGCAGGAGUUGGGGCCAUGACUGAGGACAUGGAGCUGAUGUGGAGGCAGUCAGGGCCAAGGCAAGAGCCUCCUUGUGUAUAGUGGAAACGCAAGACAGACAUCAAAGGGAGUGGGGUGUGCGGUUCCCAAGGGGCUACCAGAGUCCACUUUUAUUAAAAGUUUGUGUCUUUCUUUAGAAAGUAAUAUGUUCCAUCUCCAGCACCUGAAGGCUCCUUUCAGGGUGCCAGAAGAAUCCUCAAGGGACAGUCCCAGGCUGUGUCCUUCCUCCUGUCUUGGCUGACAUUUUUAUGCAUGGUUUAGGCAGCCCAUGGGCUUUCCAGCUUUGCAAUAAGAUCUGAUCUAAUUUCAAGCUUAUACAUAACAGAAGGGCUGGGGGAGAAGUAGGAGUUCUUUUAGAAUUGCAAAAUCCAGGUGGGUGUAGCCUGUGGGGUGCAGGCUAUCCAGCUCAAAGAGGGAGGCCCAUAUCUCAGAUUCCCUAAUGCUCGGCACAGUGUCUGGCACACAAUGGGCACACAGGAAAUCCUGCACUGAAUCAAACAGAUUUUGUAUUACCAGAUCUAGGCUGACUCACUGUGUGGUCAGGACCUUGGGUCAAUCACUUCACCUGGUGACUCACUCCCUACCUGUAAGGUGUGGAGGACAGCUGGAGUCACUGUGGCACCUGUGUGUUUAGCAGUGUGUUUGCUUGUUCCUGCUUUUAUGUCUCUGGCUGGUCUAAGAUGGAAUGAUAAAAAAAUAACGGAAUGCACUUUGUAAACGAGAGCAUCCUAGACACAUGUAAAGAUUGGAAAAUUAGAAAGCUGUCUCUACUGUAGUUACUUCUCAGAUAUGACCAACCAUUAUUAAGAAUUCAUUGGCUAAUAGGGCUACAUUUUCUCAUGAUCAUUCUUCUGUUUUAGAAGUGGGCAACUGCAGUUUUAAGAAUAAAUGUGUAAAUGUGUGUUUUCAUGAGAGACAAUAAAGCUGUUUUCAUUAAGAAUGAAAUAUGCAACUUGCAAACACUUUUACUUUUCUUGAAUUGGGUCCUUCAGCAGAAGCAGUUUGCCCAGCCCUGACAUGGAAAGUUUACUUUGCUCAUCAACCUGAAGGAGACCGAAAGCUAUGAGAGGCGGCUCCUGAAAAGAAUCUAGACUCCGGAUAUAAAAAGAUCUUGCAACACAAGGCCAAGUGGAAAUCAUGGUUCGCAUUAAAGGCAUAAACCUCCUGCACUAACAACCCAGAGCAGGAGGAAAAGCUGGGAGACCUGGCUCAGCAGCCUUCCCUGAGGGAAGCCUUCGGGGCUUUGUUCCUCUUGAGAUCAGGGCAAGCCUAUGUAUGACCUGAAGCCAAUACAACCAGCAGAGCUGAUGCCAGUGCUGGCUGCCUGAGUGCUACUAAAGAAAGAGUCCACCAUCGGCUCCCUCUUCCGUAGCCAGACACAGGUGGAAUGCUGUGCUUCCUUUUGGGAGACAAAGCAGAAGCUACCCCAGAGGGGGCAGAUGGGAGACAGGCCCAGGCAAUGCAGCCCUACAAAGAAGACUUGAAGGGCCGGGGCUGAGCAGCUUGGAUGAAGAGAAGGCUGCCUUUCAGAGCUGUUUCAAAUGUUUCAGACGUUGCUAGACAAACUAGAGUUGUAUGGCUUCAGAUGGCACAGCUUAGGGCCAUAGAGUGGGAAUCACAAGAAGGCAAACUUUAGGCCCCCAGGAGAGCUGGACAACAACCUGGAGGGUCAGAGGAGAAUGGGCUGUCCAAGGAGCGGGGAUAUGAGGGUGGGGCAGUGUGGCCAUCCCUGGAAGGGGUAAGGGAGUGGCAGAUGGUAACCAUUUGGGGUGGGGUGUGGCUGAGGAUUCCUGCAAGGCUAUCAGAGAAACUCUAAGAAUCAUAAGAAUCAAAGCUCAAGUACAUGAGGGAAGACAUAAUGAAAUCCCUAAAGUUCUGAGAGGUUGUACCAGAUUCUUUAUGGAGAAUACAGAGAGAAUGCCUCCUGACUCCUCAUUCACAGAGUGCCAGGCAGCAGCAAGGAGAAGCUGGUGGCCUUGGGAGGGCAAAAACUAAGGACAAGGUCCACAAUGCAAUCAGCUCACAUCACCUACGAACAAAUAAAGUGGGGUGGGGGUGGAGAGUUGCUAGAGUUUACGUAACUCUCAAGCCUUAAUUUAGCUGCAAGAACUAGGUUUUUGCCAAAGCUAUAGAACUUCCCACCAGAUGAAAGCUUUAUCUCUUUUUCUUUCUUAGGAGAAGAGAGACAGAAGGAGAGAAGAGGGGCAGGAGGAGAGAAAACACAAGAAAGAGGAUGGAAGAUAAAGAGGAAGGCCAGAGUGAGGCAGGAGAAAGCUGAGCUGGAACCUAACUCCUGUUGAUCUGCUGCAGAGACCCUCUCAUUCCACAAUUGCUCCCGCCAUGGUAAGCUCCAUUCCUAAUUACCUAGGCAAACUGGCCUGCAUUUCUCUCCAGAGUUCUAAAGGAUGGUGUGAGAGUGUCUGCCAAGAUUUGGAUUUUACAGAGACAAGUCUCAGCUUUUGCUUUCUGGUUCAAGGUUUAUGCUUUUGGAAGGCUGUGAUGACAGCAGCAGGAAAUAGGACAAAUAGGAGUUUUUGUUAGGGGGGCAGCUAAUAGAACAGCCUCAUGAAGGACCUAGGCACACCCUAGAGAUGCAAGGGACAGGCCUGCAGUGGUGGCUCCUAUAAACCCAGUGCACUGAAUCCCCAGAGCUUGCAGCCCAUGGCUUGGGGUCUGGUCCAGUGCACUCGUCAGAGAGCAUAACAGGACCUUUGGGACUCCUAGGGAACCUCUUGGAGAGUCCUGGGACCUGCCUAAAGUACCUGACUUGAGCACACCAGCAUCUGUGUACCCUUAGCUUCAAAUUCUCCAAAGCCAGAAAAGGAAAAAGACACAAUGUCCUGGCCUGAUCAUGCCUGAGAAUCACUUACCUAAAAAGAACAUUGGGGCUUUUGACCUGACAUCCUCCCAGGCAUGCUGACAUCUCUCAGCACUUUCUCUCCCCUCACAAAAGAACUUGUUGAGGAGGAAGGAGAAGAGGCAGCGGCUAGUGGUUAGCAGAGACAGUGGCCAAGUGUCCAGGAAGAGGGGAUGGGCAGGCCUACCUGAGGAAGGGCUGAUGUCUAAGGAGGGGGUCUGCUCCCUCUGGCACACAGCCUGCCUGCUCCUGAGACCCUGUGGCUUCUCCUGGAGCACUGUGCAAAGCUGCUUGGUAUUCUCACUUGGUUCUGUUGGAUGGCUGCAAAGCUGUCUGGCCCUGCUCUCCUCAGUUGCCAAAGGUUCACUGCCGGCUCCAGUUUGCCUGGAACGAAACAGCUCAGGCAACACAGCUGUGCAUCCUUGUGAGACUGCCUAAUUUCCCAUUUCAAGGCAGGAUGCCAUACCCCAAGGUGUAAUUUGAGUUUUGGGCAUAAGCUGAAUUUUGCAACUGAAUUCUGAAACUCAGCCCUCCAGGCUGUGCGUGCUUGGGAAUUAAAAAGCUUUCUUCUCCUUUUCCCUCCUCCACUAUCUACCACCCUCCCCAAUAUCAAUACUGAUACCAUCAUUAAUGUUAAAUUUCUAUUUAUUGAGUGUCUACUAUGUGCUAGGCACUUGUAUGGCUGCACCUGACAGCAAUGGCUUACCUUAAGCCUAUCCUGAGAAUGACACUAUGGUCUAAGAAGAAUGUGUGCUUGGAAUUCCAAGCUAAGAAAUCUGGAAGUGGCCGAUCUGGAGAUUCAUUCCUUACUUAUGGGAAACAUCUAAACCUCUGGCCCAUUUCAUGGAAUGCAGGCUGUACAGGGGACUGAAGCCCUUUGUUUUGGGUUAAAUGAAAGUUGACAGGUGGAGGUUGUUAGGGGGAGGGCGCUAAGUGAAAAUGCUAUAUCAACUGCAUGCUUUUUACCAGCAGAUGCAGUUCUAUCCAGCUCAUCACCACUGGACUCCUCUGUAUGUGAGUCCCCUCAAUAAACCUGAUGUCUCAUUUGCUGGCUGCAGGUCUCUUUUUCAGCCUGUUGAACAUGGUACCAUCACUACUGAAGUCAACAAGGGUCCAGCAUGACAACACUGUACUAAUCAAUUUCCCUGUAUCAUCUUAAUCUUCACAAAACCCUAUGAGGUAGAAAAGGACAAAUCUUAACCCAUGUCCUAUGUGAUUAUAAGGGUACUCACCCUCCACCUUUUAAUUAUUCUCUUUUGGGCUACAAAUCUGUGGAUCUGCAUACCUGAAUGAUUCACUGUGGCUUUCUGGUAGAAAAACUAAUAACACCAUUUGUCCAUGUCAAGCCAAGGAGACAAGCUCAACAUACAAAGAACAAGGAGAGAACAAUGGAAGAUGGCCUAUAAUUCAGAAGCACAUUGGGUGGAGCAUAUUGCACAUGUAGAAGCUUGUCACGGAACCCAAGAAAGCUGGAGGAACCUGGGAAGGCUUCCUGGAAGAAGGGAAAGCUGAGUUCUCUUAUCACCACUCCACCAUUUGUUCAUGUCCUCAUGUACAUAUUCAACAAACAUUUAUUGAGGGCUGAGUGUGGCUUUGUGUAUCCCAGAUAAACUAGUAUCCUGAUCUUAGCCAUGGAUCUCAGCUGCUACUAUCUCAUUCCCCACCAUGGGCAAUAAGAUGCAUACUGGUAGGGAAAAUUCUGGCAAAUUUUGUAAAGUUUAUCCAUAGGCAUAAACACUUUACCCUGUGUUAUGCUCAGAAGAGGAACACACAUUUAUUAAGCACCUACCACAUCUGCAAAUAACUUUACUCCCAAAAACUGAUUUGAUACUUAAGCAGCUUUUGUAAGGUGUGUUUCAUUCCCUAAAACUAAAGUUCAGAGAGGUUAAAAGAUUUAUCCAAGGUCACACAUUCAAGGUGGAGCCAAGAUGCACAACUAAGUCUAUUACUGUUUUUUUCAUACUCCCCCACUUCUCUGUCUCCCUCUUUCUAUUCUCAGCUGCAGACUCUGCCAGCUGCAAACUUCUUUAGUAGUUAUUCCUGAUUACUUCUGCUCCUGGUGAGCUCAUCACCUGAUUAAAGGGCUCCUAGCUUCACCAGACCUUGGAGAUGACAAACAGAUGACCCUGGAGAGGCAGGCUCUCUAGGGCUGUUCCAUUUUGGUCUGGCCCCCAUUCCAGCCGGGGAUAUAGUUCAAACCCUGACUCUGAGUUGAGCCCAAGAAAAUAAGACCAAGAUGAAAGCUUAAGUGCAUCCCCUGAAAGGCUCUUAUCUCCAGGCUAAGCUUGGAAGUGGGGAGACAGAGCACCACAACCCAACUUGGGGAUGUUGUCUCUUGUAGAAACACCUUCCUCAGUAACAGAAGGGUAGCUGCCCCUAUGUCCUAGAGAGCGGGAGUAAGAGAAAGUGGCUCCUUGCCUCUGAGAUUUGCUUAGCUGAUCCUCCCUCACCCCAACCAUAGCUCUUAACAAACCCAGGUACGCAUAAAUAUAAAUACCACCCUAUGUGUAUUUCCUGUGCCCUCCCUUUUCUCUUUCCUGAGGAGUUAUGGAGAGAAAAUAAAUGCCAGAAUUACAGAAAACUAGGUAUAAAUCUACUCACUAGCUUUAUGGCCUUGCAUCUAUUUCCCAUAUAAGCUGGCAGGGUUGGGAUUCUGUCUAGCUCUUUCCAUUUAUCAUGAUGUCCUCUUUUUGGUUCUUUUAGAUUUUGCAUCGGGUUGAUGUAGUGGAUGCUGUAGUCCACUACCCAGAUUCCUUCCCCAACCCACAACAAUGAGGUUCUCAUUCCGGAGCUGCUAGGAGGGAUGCCAGAUAAUAGCACACAGCUGAACUUCUCUUCAGCUAUUGCCCUCAGAUUAAGAAAGCUGCCUUGCUCAAGGUUACACGCCUUUCCUGGGAAACCAGUAUCCAAUGACUGGUUCCUGUAAAAGGAAUGGAGCUGCCUUAAAAGAGCUGCCUUGCUUCAAUUUGGGAAGACUAUGAAGAGCCAUCCCAGCUCUGGAGUUCUCCGUAGGGUUGGGUUUUUGAGACUAUGCAGAAGUUAUUCCAUGAGUUCCAAGCCCAGGUCAUGAAAGAUAACUUGUAAUAAAUCUGGCUACCCUGAAGCUGCCAUGCUUGAGAGACCACACGAGAUGGAGAGAGAUGCUUAGGAGUCCCAGCUGUCCAAGCCUCCAGCUAUGUGAAUCUUCCCAGCAGCAACUGCCAGACAUGUGGUACACCCAAAAUGACUUUGGGGCUACACUUGGAAUUGGCAAGGUUCCAGAAAACAGAGGGACUAUCAUCAGAGACAGCGCACAAAAAGUGGGAGAAAGGUCACCAGCCUCACUCAUGUUUAGGGCUAUUAUGAAUAAAGCUGCUAUGAACACUUGUUUACAAGUUCUUUGUGAGGACACAUGUUUUCAUUUAUCUUGGGAAAAUACCUAGAGAUGGAACUCUGGGACACAUGGUAAUAAAGUAUAUUGGCAUAAUGCAAGAGUCAAGAUGCAGAAAAUAACUACUGUGUGAUGUCUCUCUCCCAGCUUUAACCCGCCUGAAGGGCAGCACUGAGUUCAACACACUGUCCCACAAUUGUUGCACUCUCACACUGAAGUGAACAGAUUCUUUCUCCGUGCCGUGCAGCUCCCGGCAGAGGAUGAGGGAAGGGUACCAUCGGUGAUUCAGCACUGUGUUUCCUAUCCUCUUCAAUGACUCUUUCAGCGAUAUGAAGGUAAAACCAGACUUGAAAGCGUGUGUCAGAUCCCUUCACUAUAUCUUCAGACCUGCCCCAAGGAGUGAGGAAGGGCAACACCAAGAACUUCUCUCCAAGGACCAUAACCUGCGAACCCCAUCUCACCUCCUCCUGCCAGAUGGACAC